UGGGGGAUAUUGCACAAUGGGCGAAAGCCUGAUGCAGCGACGCCGCGUGGGGGAUGAAGGCCUUCGGGUUGUAAACUUCUUUUGCCCUGAACAAGGCAUGCCUUUGGGGUGUGUUGAGUGUAGGGGUUGAUUAGCGCCGGCUAACUACGUGCCAGCAGCCGCGGUAAUACGUAGGGCGCGAGCGUUGUCCGGAAUUAUUGGGCGUAAAGGGCUUGUAGGUGGCUGGUUGCGUCUGUCGUGAAAGCUCAUGGCUUAACUGUGGGUUUGCGGUGGGUACGGGCUGGCUUGAGUGCAGUAGGGGGGGGUGGAAUUCCUGGUGUAGCGGUGGAAUGCGCAGAUAUCAGGAGGAAUACCGGUGGCGAAGGCGGGUCUCUGGGCUGUUACUGACGCUGAGGAGCGAAAGCGUGGGGAGCGAACAGG
rnacentral:rRNA from 1 species